UACGAAGGGGGCUAGCGUUGUUCGGAAUCACUGGGCGUAAAGCGCACGUAGGCGGACCUUCAAGUCAGGGGUGAAAUCCCGGGGCUCAACCUCGGAACUGCCUUUGAUACUGUUGGUCUUGAGUCCGGAAGAGGUGGGUGGAAUUCCUAGUGUAGAGGUGAAAUUCGUAGAUAUUAGGAAGAACACCGGUGGCGAAGGCGGCCCACUGGUCCGGUACGGACGCUGAGGUGCGAAACGUGGGG
rnacentral:rRNA from 1 species